UACGUAGGGGGGCUAGCGUUGUCCGGAUUUAUUGGGCGUAAAGAGCGUGUAGGCGGCCAGGUAGGUCUGGUGUGAAAACUCGAGGCUUAACCUCGAGAUGUCAUCGGAAACCAUCUGGCUAGAGUCCGGAAGAGGAGAGUGGAAUUCCUGGUGUAGCGGUGAAAUGCGCAGAUAUCAGGAAGAACACCAAUGGCGAAAGCAGCUCUCUGGGACGGUACUGACGCUGAGACGCGAAAGCGUGGGGAGCAAACAGG
rnacentral:rRNA from 1 species